rnacentral:rRNA from 1 species
AAGUCGUAACAAGGUCUCCGUAGGUGAACCUGCGGAGGGAUCAUUACAGAGUUCUCGCCCUCGCGGGUAGAUCUCCCACCCACUGUUAUCGUUACUAUCGUUGCUUUGGCGGGCCGCCGGGUCCUGCCCGGCCCCCGGCCCCGGCUGGGGUGCGCCCGACAGAGGCCCUACAAACUCUGAAUGUCAGUGUCGUCUGAGUACUAUACAAUAGUUAAAACUUUCAACAACGGAUCUCUUGGUUCUGGCAUCGAUGAAGAACGCAGCGAAAUGCGAUAAGUAAUGCGAAUUGCAGAAUUCAGUGAGUCAUCGAAUCUUUGAACGCACAUUGCGCCCUGUGGUAUUCCGCAGGGCAUGCCUGUUCGAGCGUCAUUAUAACCAAUCCAGCCUGGCUGGGUGUUGGGUCUCGCUGUAUAGCGGGCCUUAAAAUCAGUGGCGGUGCUCUUAGGCUCUACGCGUAGUAACUUUCUCGCUAUAGAGCCCUGGGAGGUGCCUGCCAGCAACCCUAAAUUUUCUUAGGUUGACCUCGGAUCAGGUAGGGAUACCCGCUGAACUUAAGCAUAUCAAUAAGCGGAGGAAAAGAAACCAACAGGGAUUACCUCAGUAACGGCGAGUGAAGCGGUAACAGCUCAAAUUUGAAAUCUGGCUCUUUCAGGGUCCGAGUUGUAAUUUGUAGAAGAUGCUUUGGGUGUGGCUCCGGUCUAAGUUCCUUGGAACAGGACGUCAUAGAGGGUGAGAAUCCCGUAUGUGACUGGAUGCUUUCGCCCGUGUAAAGCUCUUUCGACGAGUCGAGUUGUUUGGGAAUGCAGCUCAAAAUGGGUGGUAAAUUUCAUCUAAAGCUAAAUAUUGGCCAGAGACCGAUAGCGCACAAGUAGAGUGAUCGAAAGAUGAAAAGCACUUUGGAAAGAGAGUUAAACAGUACGUGAAAUUGUUGAAAGGGAAGCGCUUGCAACCAGACUCGCAUGCCGUCGAUCCUCCUGGGUUCUCCCUGGUGCACUCGGCGGUAUUCGGGCCAGCAUCGGUUUGGGUGGUGGGAUAAAGGCCUUUGGGAAUGUAGCUCCUCUUUCGGGGAGUGUUAUAGCCCUCGGUGCAAUGCUGCCUACCUGGACCGAGGACCGCGCUUCGGCUAGGAUGCUGGCGUAAUGGUUGUAAGCGACC